rnacentral:pre_miRNA from 1 species
UCUGGCUUGAACCUGGCACACAAUGUAGAUUUCUGUGUUAGUUAGGCAACAGCUACAUUGUCUGCUGGGUUUCAGGCUACCUGG